UUGAAUUGAAGAGUUUGAUCAUGGCUCAGAUUGAACGCUGGCGGCAGGCUUAAAACAUGCAAGUCGAACGGUAACAUAAAGAAGCUUGCUUCUUUGAUGACGAGUGGCGGACGGGUGAGUAAUGCUUGGGAAUCUAGCUUAUGGAGG
rnacentral:rRNA from 1 species